rnacentral:rRNA from 1 species
GACGAACCGUGCGAACGUUGUUCGGAAUCACUGGGCUUAAAGGGCGCGUAGGCGGGUCACAAAGUCCGGGGUGAAAUCCCCCAGCUUAACUGGGGAAGUGCCUUGGAUACUGGUGACCUCGAGGAGGGUAGGGGCAUCUGGAACGUUGGGUGGAGCGGUGAAAUGCGUUGAUAUCCAACGGAACUCCGGUGGCGAAAGCGAGGUGCUGGACCCUUUCUGAC